AACCAACACCCAAAAAAUAAAGAGAACAAACCCAAUCAAUUAAAAAGUAAAGAGGAGGAAGGGGAGAAGAGGAGAAAAUAAGGCGGACCAAGGAAAUCAAUAGCAGAAAAAAAAAGAAUAUACAGACUAGUAAACAAAAAAAGAAAGAGAAAGGAAAAAGUUAACUCAUUAAAUUCGUUUAGGAACUUGACUAGAAAACCUCGAAGGAUUUGGAAAAAAGGACAUGGGAAAAGACGUAGGGCGAGAGAUUGAUGGAGAGGAGGAAGAUGAAGGUUGAGUUUUGACGGCGUUGAACGAUUUAAAAUUCUGAGAGGUGAAAGACUUUGGAGGAAGAGGAAUGGACGGAUAGGUAUUAGAGGUUAAAGGACGCUUUGUAGAAGUAUUAGUAGCGUUAGAAGAAGAACGUCCAAGGGGAUGCAAUUGGGGAAAGCUCCGAGAGGAUGAAGUAGCUGAAACAAUAUGACGGGUAGCAGAGCCUUUUUGAGAAAAUCACUUUUAGCUCUCGCCAUUAGAGAACUUUUUGGACAAUAAUUACUCAUGGGACGCGGACGCUUAGGAGGCCGAGCAGCUCUAGGCUCACGCUCUAAAGGAACAAUUCGCUUGUUUUGUUUACUUUGCUCUAGCUUGGUGUAAGCACUUCGAAGCUUAGCAGAAGCAACGUUAUAAUGAGCAUUUCUUUUUUUCUUAAGUUUUCCGUAGAGCCCUCUCCAAUCAUCAAUAUUGUUCAAUAUAGUUCGUUUUUGAAGUUCUAAUCCAAAAUCACGCAAAACGUGAUCUUUCCACAAUGGUUGAGUGUCAACUUUCAAAUGAGGCGACUUUUCUUCCAAGUCUAUUAAAUGUUCUGGUCUAGCUUUUUCCAGGAUAGGUUUUACGAGUUCGAAUGGGCAAUCGCCAAUAUCAUCGAUGUCGUGCACAUGCUUCUGCGCGACUUGGAUGCACAAAUCUUUUAAAGAAUACAUCGCUCAUAUGAUAGUAAUUUUUAAAAAUUUCAAAGAAAACGAUCGAAUUAGAGCUCUAUAGUCUUCAAUUGGAAGAGUGCUUUUAC